UGCACCCUGUCCGAUGGUGAGGUCAUCCAAGGUAAGUCUGCCCAAAGGGCAGCGCCUCACCGCCCGCAAGGGUAGGGACAGGGGGGAGGU
rnacentral:ncRNA from 1 species